rnacentral:rRNA from 1 species
GGGGCUAGCGUUGUUCGGAAUUACUGGGCGUACAGCGCGCGCAGGCGGUCUUUCAAGUCCGUGGUGAAAGCCUGGAGCUCAACUCCAGAACUGCCAUUGAAACUGCAAGACUUGAGUACGAGAGAGGUGAGUGGAAUUCCCAGUGUAGAGGUGAAAUUCGUAGAUAUUCGCAAGAACACCAGUGGCGAAGGCGGCUCACUGGCCCGAUACUGACGCUGAGGCACGAAAGCGUGGGGAGCAAACAGG